AUACCUUUCUCGGCCUUUUGGCUAAGAUCAAGUGUAGUAUCUGUUCUUAUCAGUUUAAUAUCUGAUACGUGAGUCAUUGGCUCACACGAUAUUAACUUAAUUUUUUCUAGGGGAAAGGCCCAUCAAGGUAGCUUGCUAUCUGGGCCUUUAAGUGUCGCCAUGGUAUUGCACUAUUGCCUUGGCCUAGCACACCUCAC
rnacentral:snRNA from 1 species